ACGAACGCUGGCGGCGUGCCUAAUACAUGCAAGUAGAACGCUGAAGGAGGAGCUUGCUUCUCUGGAUGAGUUGCGAACGGGUGAGUAACGCGUAGGUAACCUGCCUGGUAGCGGGGGAUAACUAUUGGAAACGAUAGCUAAUACCGCAUAAGAGUAGAUGUUGCAUGACAUUUGCUUAAAAGGUGCAAUUGCAUCACUACCAGAUGGACCUGCGUUGUAUUAGCUAGUUGGUGGGGUAACGGCUCACCAAGGCGACGAUACAUAGCCGACCUGAGAGGGUGAUCGGCCACACUGGGACUGAGACACGGCCCAGACUCCUACGGGAGGCAGCAGUAGGGAAUCUUCGGCAAUGGACGGAAGUCUGACCGAGCAACGCCGCGUGAGUGAAGAAGGGUUUCGGAUCGUAAAGCUCUGUUGUAAGAGAAGAACGAGUGUGAGAGUGGAAAGUUCACACUGUGACGGUAGCUUACCAGAAAGGGACGGCUAACUACGUG
rnacentral:rRNA from 1 species